CACACACACACACACACACACACCAGGGAUGGUUUUGUAUGUUGGCAGGUGAAUUGUGUCACUUUCUUUGUUUCACUUUACUUCCAAUAGCUAAACAACAGUUAAACAACACAAGUGAACCGACUGACACAGACUCAGUGAAAAGUAAGCUGUUUAUAUUGUUAAUACGCAAUGCUGUUUAUAUACAUGUGUGUAUACUGACCAUCAAACAUCAAACACGGAUCAAAGUACCCAGCCAGGUGAUGUUUUUUUACCCCUUUCUGUUGGACGUUUCCAUGACAUCAGACAUCAUUCAUUACAUUAUCUAGUUGUGUGACCGUCAAGUGUCGAACAGUGAGAGAUUUCAUGUCAUAUUCAAUGACACCAUACAUGUAACUGAGGCUAUUUUUUGAGUUGAUAUAUACCCAUCAGCUGCGGUUAGUGUUGGUGUGCCGUUGGCGGUGGUGCUACUGCUGUUGGUGCCGUUGGCGGCGUUGGCGGUGUGGCUCUGUCGACGAAAAAAGAAACCGACGGUCAGGACUGAAGACGGGGCUCUCCCUGAGCAGACUGCGGCACAACCUGAAGCACAAUCACUGCUAAGUGGAACCAGUAGAUUUCGUCCGGGGGCUUUUUCUGCGGACUACAGCGCUGCUACAGAUGAUGUGACCGUGACCAUGCCAGAUGCCUUUGGAGGGAAAACACGUUUGAAUGGAGAUUGUAGAGAUUGAGGGCGAAAAUUGUAUUGAAGUAUUGGCUUUGGCCCCGUCCACACAGUCUUGUACGUUUGGUCCGACCGUCCAGACAAACCCGGAAUUUUGGAUACCUGCAAACACAUUUUUUUAAACCAGGGACCUCUACGAAUUCUCUUUUUUGCAUAGGAAAUUCCCUUCCUAUGGAGAUGACCCCGGAAGUGCUUGGAGGAAAGGUGGUUCGAAUUCUAAAAAUGCUCAAAUUCUAAAAGGAGCCUUGAUGCUUCUUUUAACCCUCCUUUAUACUCCUGAGAUUCCUUUGCGAAAGGAAAGGAGAUAGUGGUAUCCCAUAUUCCUUUACGGCGGCAAUAUUUAAAGCAACAUGCCAUCAACGAAGUUAACCGACUCUACGCAAAGACGCAUGAGAGAUGGGGGAAAGCAGAAGAAUAGAAGAGAAGAAAA